rnacentral:rRNA from 1 species
GACGAACGCUGGCGGCGUGCCUAAUACAUGCAAGUUGAGCGAUGAAGAUUGGUGCUUGCACCAAUUUGAAGAGCAGCGAACGGGUGAGUAACGCGUGGGGAAUCUGCCUUUGAGCGGGGGACAACAUUUGGAAACGAAUGCUAAUACCGCAUAACAACUUUAAACAUAAGUUUUAAGUUUGAAAGAUGCAAUUGCAUCACUCAAAGAUGAUCCCGCGUUGUAUUAGCUAGUUGGUGAGGUAAAGGCUCACCAAGGCGAUGAUACAUAGCCGACCUGAGAGGGUGGUCGGCCACAUUGGGACUGGGACACGGCCCCAACUCCUACGGGAGGCAGCAGUAGGGAAUCUUCGGCAAUGGACGAAAGUCUGGCCGAGCAACGCCGCGUGAGUGGAGAAGGUUUUCGGAUCGUAAAACUCUGUUGGUAGAGAAGAACGUUGGUGAGAGUGGAAAGCUCAUCAAGUGACGGUAACUACCCAGAAAGGGACGGCUAACUACGUG